ACUCCGAGCAGUCAGCCAUCUCUGCCAAGAGUCACUGGGCGCGUUCUCUCCCGGCGACACCGCCACUUCCGGCCUGUGGCGCGGUCACUUCCGGCGGGCCGUGACGUCACUUCCGGCGGGCCGUGACGUCACUUCCUGUCGGCCAUGGCGUCGCUCCCUGCUCUGAGGAGGCCACCGAGGACUUGGUGUGGCCGGCAGCGCGUUGGUGCUGGAGCGAGACGGAGCGCCCACCGGAAGUCCCCAUCCGAAGGUGGACGCAGUCAGCCCAGAGCCGGAGGCCGGAAUCCGGGGGUGGCUUCGCUGCCCGUGCACAGAACCUGGCCUGGAUGCCGGCGGUUGUGGGCCUGUGCACAGAACCUGGCCUGGAUGCCGGCGGCUGUGGGCCUGUACGACGGCUCUGUACCCACGGGAGCCACAGCCACUUGUUGCACCCGCCACCGCCCCGCGUGGCGCGCACAGCUGACGCCUCUGACCCGGCUCCCACUGGCUCGGGCGCCACCUGGGCCGCCUGUCUCCCCCACGCUGCGCUCGCCUCCCCGGCACCCGCCACCGCCCGGCCUGGCGCGGUCCCCAGGCAGCCGGCUAACAGGCUCUUCCGUGAGCCAAUUCACAGGGAUUCGGUCAUGUUUACAUUAGCCUCCUCCCAGUGCACGAAAAGAGAAGUGCUCGCUUCAGAAUGGAAAUGAGCAAAUAUGAAUAAUUCAAUUUUCCUUGUGGCUAUUAACACAUUUUCCUUGAAUAAAGUGAUAAUAGGUUAUCAUCUGUGAAAUGGAAAUUGCAUAACAGAGAGUCUCUGGUUACACCAGAGGAAAUUAAUUUCACAGCACAUCUGCUGGGACCUGACUUGUGCAUGCUAACUACGAGAAAAUGCAGCCGAUCAGCUCCCUACCUUUCUAAUUAGAUUAGCGGCCCCCUCCUUCCAGGCAGGAGAGCCGCGGCUCCUCGCCUCGACACCUAGUAUUUGUAAUGAUGAAAUGACUGGAGCAAUUAGGGAAAGUUAAAAAUGAAUUAUGGGGCCGGGUUCUAUGCACCAGAUGCUGCCUCCCAGGGCUGCGCGGUGCUGUCUGUCUGGUUAAACACAGGACCGAGCCCACUAUCGACGCGCACACGCAUGCACACACGCGUGCAGCGGGCCUCGGCGGCACACGGCGUGCACCCCGCCGUCUCCACGCUGGCCCAGCGUUGCCAUGCCAACACACACCAGGGGACCAGGAGGGAGCCCCAGGGACCUGGCUGCAGGCACAGGCACCCCGUCCUGCACCUGAAACCAGGCAGAAGCCCCCUGUGGCGGAGGCACUGGCAGGGCCACCAGCCCGCUGGGUGGGUCGAGCUGCUUGGAGACAACCCUGGGUGACGUGGUGCCAAUGACAGGUGACCUCUGUUGUGUCACACCCACUCCUGCUGCACCUGCACCUGACUGAGGCGGGAACAGCAUCUGCGCAGAGAGGAGAGACUUCGUACUGAGGGCAUGUGGGCGGGUAGGGCGAGGGUGUCUUAGCACCACCUUCUGGCCUGGUCCCAAAGGCCCCCAGCACACAGAGCUGCCUCCUUCCUCCCCUCCCACUAGCCCUUCCUCCGUUUCUCCACUGAUGGCUCGCAGAUCUGCAAAGCUCAGUGCCAUUUCUUCAAAAUCAUCUUCGUGUCAAUGGUCGGCCAUUAUUCACUUUUCUCUCAUUUUCCCAACAAAAUUAUUGGGAAUAGCAGAGUGCAAGCUUUUCUCACUUUGGACCUCAUCCGGGGCAUUCCCUGAGGGAGCUCCUCCCAGAGUGCUCUUGGGAGGCCCAGUCCCCGGGUGGACCUAGAUUUUGCUUCUCUCUGGAGCCUGGACUCUGAUGGUGGUGGGCUCUGGCACCGCCCGGAGAUGCCAGGGCCUCCGACGCCAUCCCUUGGGCAGCACAGGCCGAGUGGGAGGUUUUCGGCCCAAGGGGCUCUGGGGGGCAGCAGCGAUGCUCUCUGUGGCAUCAGAACGGGAUCAGACCAGGACCAUCCGUGGCCCGGACACGGGGCCCUCAGCGGGAGACGCGGGUGAGGCUCCUUCCCUCCACGGACGGGCAGGGAAGAGGAAUGGGCCUCGGCAGGAGCCCCCGUCCACGGAAGCAAGCGUGGCU